ensembl:lncRNA
AUGAAUAUCAUUAUGGUGAACGGGUCUUCUUUGUCUCUCUGUGUUCACUUGAGUCUCGUCCCGUCAUGUUUGUGUGUGUUUGGCAGCUCUGAGCGCAGCAGAUCUAACCUUUCAGUCAACCUCUGUAGACAUACACACAUAAAGACACAUGCACUUGGUGACAAACACAGACACACACUCAUGCAGAUACACACACACACACUCAUGCAGAUACACACACACACACACUCAUGCAGAUACACACACACACUCAUGCAGAUACACACACACACACUCAUGCAGAUACACACACACACACACACACUCAUGCAGAUACACACACACAGACACACACUCAUGCAGAUACACACACACAGACACACACUCAUGCAGAUACACACACACAGACACACACUCAUGCAGAUACACACACAGAGACACACACUCAUGCAGAUACACACACACAGACACACACUCAUGCAGAUACACACACACAGAAAUACACUCAUGCAGAUACACACACAGAGACACACACUCAUGCAGAUACACACACACAGACACACACUCAUGCAGAUACACACACACAGACAUACACUCAUGCAGAUACACACACAGAAAUACACUCAUGCAGAUACACACACAGAGACACACACUCAUGCAGAUACACACACACAGACACACACUCAUGCAGAUACACACACACAGAAAUACACUCAUGCAGAUACACACACAGAAAUACACUCAUGCAGAUACACACACAGAGACACACACUCAUGCAGAUACACACACACAGACACACACUCAUGCAGAUACACACACACAGAAAUACACUCAUGCAGAUACACACACAGAAAUACACUCAUGCAGAUAAACACACACUCAUGCAGAUACACACAAACUCACACACGCACACAGUCUGUGGGAAAUGCCCUGUGUUUGAGGACAGUACAGGCACACACACGUACAGAUUCAGCAUCAGACACACACCCACACUCAUUCAGCUAUUCAGAGCAAUUGUCCUGCAUACUUACAUGA